rnacentral:lncRNA from 1 species
AAAAAAUCUUGUUUUGGCACGCGAAUAAAAUCUCCCACAAGCGAUUUCGGGUCUUGCCUUCACAGCCCCGGUACCGGUUCACAAGGUUCUUUCGCUUGCUUCUUAUGUAAGAAAUAAGUUCCUAACUUCUUAUACAAGAUACCAUGUGUGAUUCUUUGGGUCUUAGAAUGAAGAUUCUUGGUUGUAGACGUAGUUCGAAUUUCUCGUAUUUCGUGUCAAAGGAGUCGAAUUAUGUUUGAUGCGGGAGUUGUUGGGUUUAGGAAUGAAGAUUUCUCAUAUGUAGGUUGGCUGUGUAUAUACCUAUUCUGAUAGGGAAAAAACAUGAUUUGGAAUGACGUAGAGGUUUAGAAUUUUAGAGUUAUAUCUAUGUUGACUACAACUUUUGUCAUUUUUCAACUUCUUAAUCAAACAAAGGAAAAUGUUUGCGAUGGAGAACAUCCACGUUUUACCUCUAUUGUUAUUGAGGAUCGAGGUACAGUCUUAAGUUUGAGUUGUUAUAGCACUGCAUGACUAGAAUAUAAUGGUUAUGAUUUAUUCAUUGUCUAGUUCAUUUAGAUAGAGUCAUCCAUGACUAAUUAUUCGCUCUAUUUUGAACAUAUGUUCCAAAGUGGGAUUCCGUAAUUCAGUUGCAUUCAUGAUAGUUUAUUUAUUUAUUCAACAGUUGAUUAGAAUGAGAGGAAGGAAUUUUGGAGUUUGUCACGGCUGUAGAUGUAACACUCACUACCUUGGACAAUGCCAAACAAAACUUAGAUGCCUUUCAUGUAAAUGCGGAUUUCGAAAAUAUUUUGAGAUCGAACGGGAUACUGGAAACAAAGGGCACUUGUUCUCACGUGUAGUAACGUCUAUGGGUAUUUCAACUAGGUGAAAAAUAAAGAUUUAAGUGGGGAAUCGAGUACCGUUAAUGAAGCGGUGAAUCAUAAGCCCAACGAAGAAUAUGAAGACUUGCCAAGAAUCUUUGACAGUCUAGCUCAAAUUAUCGAG